CCUACGGGAGGCAGCAGUGAGGAAUAUUGGUCAAUGGACGAGAGUCUGAACCAGCCAAGUAGCGUGAAGGAUGACUGCCCUAUGGGUUGUAAACUUCUUUUAUAUGGGAAUAAAAUGUUCCACGUGUGGGAUUUUGUAUGUACCAUAUGAAUAAGGAUCGGCUAACUCCGUGCCAGCAGCCGCGGUAAUACGGAGGUUCCGAGCGUUAUCCGGAUUUAUUGGGUUUAAAGGGAGCGUAGAUGGAUGGUUAAGUCAGUUGUGAAAGUUUGCGGCUCAACCGUAAAAUUGCAGUUGAAACUGGCAGGCUUGAGUACAGUAGAGGUGGGCGGAAUUCGUGGUGUAGCGGUGAAAUGCUUAGAUAUCACGAAGAACUCCGAUUGCGAAGGCAGCUCACUGGACUGCAACUGACACUGAGGCUCGAAAGUGUGGGUAUCAAACAGGAUUAGAUACCCUUGUAGUC
rnacentral:rRNA from 1 species